GGUGAACGCUGGCGGCGUGCCUAACACAUGCAAGUCGAGCGGACAGACGAUGAGCUUGCGCCUCUAACGUUAGCGGCGGGCGGGUGGGUGACACGUGGAUCACCUACCUCUAUUUCGGGGAUGACUUCGUAAAGACGGAGAUGAUACCAGAUAAUAUAUUGAACCGCUGAGUUCAGUGGUUAAUGACGGCUUUGGUGUCUGUAUUAGAUGAUUCCGGGCUGCAUUAGCGAGUUGGUAAGGUAACGGCUUACCAAGGAAACGUUGCGUGGCCGACCGGAGAGAGUGUUCGCCCACACUGGACCUGAGAAACGGCCCAACCCCUGACGGGAGGCAGAAGUAGGGAAUCUUCCGAAAUGGGCGAAAGCCUGACGGAGCAACGCAGGGUGAGUGAUGAAGGUCUCCGGAUCGUAAAACUCUGUUAUGAGGGAAGAACAAAUGUGUAAGUAACUAUGCACGUCUGGCGGUUACCAAAGCAGAAGGCCCCGGCUAAUUCCUU
rnacentral:rRNA from 1 species